CCUUACCGUAACCAUAACCUCUCUCAUAUUCUCUCUCUCUCUCUCUCUAGCUUCUUUUUCUUUCCUCUCUUGACAUAGGAGGAGGGAGAACCAAACGGGGUCUCAAAGAUGAAACCAAAAGAUGAGUUUAUUAAAGGUCCCUAUAAGGGUUUUUUCAUGCAUGUGAAGGCCUCCAUGGUCAACCCCUUGAGAAUUGUUGUUGAAAGCUGUGACCAAAAGGAUGCCAUGAGUAGUGGCUCUGAAAUGCUGGCAGCUACGACAGCAGCCGCCGCAGACGCUUCACUCUAAUAAUCGGGUGCUAUCCUACCUGAGCUUUUUAAAAGUAUACAUUUUUUUUCUAAUGUUCGCCUUUUGUUGUUUAAUUUCUACCACCAUACCCCUUCCUCUCAGCGUCUUCUUGACCUUGUAAGACCUUUUCUUGACCUUGUAAGACCUCCCGCCUUGUUCGCUAUCUUUGUUUCCUCUUCCUCGACGGACACUAUAUCAAAAUCUAGUGAUAUAGAGUCUAGUCUUGGCCGUUCCUCGUUACCGCCCAACUCAUCCUCUCCUUCCUUGUCUAUCCCUCCUGAGCUAUUCCAAUUCUCGCCAAGCGCAUGCAACAGCUUUGGUGCUUGAAGUUGAAGGCACAAUUAAUGGAGUUGAAUUGAACGUGGUCCUUAUUAACUAAGGGUAUAGUAGUAAAUAAAGAAAUGAUGAAAAGUGGAAAGGGCAUUAUUGUGGCAAUGAAUUAGGCUUUUGUAUGAUUGUGGACAGAAUAUUUAUGCUGUGGUUGUUGCAGGGGAUCAGUUUCAA